GUCAGAUGCUGCAUUUGCCCGGUCGGCCAUAUUGUCACACAGCUGCGGGCCGCGCAAAGGCUGACUUCUCUCGUCUGAUUUACUUCUCCGAGGCGAGCGGCCCGCAUUCCCAAAUAGAUCGGCUAAAGGUGUCUGCAGUACAAAAAGUGAAUCAUGAAGGUCCCGUCAGCAUCAGUACUUGAACCUGACUCGGUGUGGACCACGAUGAGGCAGGAGAGCCAGGAGAUUUUUCCCAGCCAAUAAGAACAUCAAGCUGAAGGCUCCCAAUCUUCACUUGUUGUUCAUCCCGAAGGUGUUAGACGGGGUUGCGGUCCCAAGUUCUUCCACCCCAGACUCACUGGACCUUGCCUUAAUGGACUUUGCUUUUGUGCACCUUCCCGCAAACGAAGCAAUUGAUUUUGCUCAAACC